UGAGGAAUAUUGCACAAUGGACGCAAGUCUGAUGCAGCGACGCCGCGUGAGCGAUGAAGGCCUUCGGGUCGUAAAGCUCUUUUGGCAGGGACGAGUGAGGACGGUACCUGUUGAAUAAGUCUCGGCUAACUACGUGCCAGCAGCCGCGGUAAAACGUAGGAGGCAAGCGUUAUCCGGAUUCACUGGGCGUAAAGCGUGCGUAGGCGGUCGGGUAAGUCGGAUGUUAAAGCCCCUGGCUCAACUGGGGGAGGUCAUUCGAUACUGCUCGGCUUGAGGAUGAGAGAGGAAAGCGGAAUUCCCGGUGUAGCGGUGGAAUGCGUAGAGAUCGGGAGGAACACCAGCGGCGAAAGCGGCUUUCUGGCUCAUAUCUGACGCUGAGUGCACGACAGCGUGGGGAGCAAACGGG
rnacentral:rRNA from 1 species